UGGGGAAUAUUGGGCAAUGGGGGGAACCCUGACCCAGCAACGCCGCGUGAAGGAAGAAGGUUUUCGGAUCGUAAACUUCUAUCCCGGGUGAAGAUAAUGACGGUAGCCCGGAAGGAAGCCCCGGCUAACUACGUGCCAGCAGCCGCGGUAAUACGUAGGGGGCAAGCGUUGUCCGGAAUGAUUGGGCGUAAAGGGCGCGUAGGCGGACGACUAAGUCUGGAGUGAAAGUCCUUCUUUUAAGGAGGGAAUUGCUUUGGAAACUGGCUGGCUUGAGUGCAGGAGAGGUUAGUGGAAUUCCCGGUGUAGCGGUGAAAUGCGUAGAGAUCGGGAGGAACACCAGUGGCGAAGGCGGGUAACUGGACUGCAACUGACGCUGAGGCGCGAAAGUGUGGGGAGCAAACAGG
rnacentral:rRNA from 2 species